rnacentral:rRNA from 1 species
UACGUAGGGUGCAAGCGUUAAUCGGAAUUACUGGGCGUAAAGCGUGCGCAGGCGGCUUUGCAAGACAGAUGUGAAAUCCCCGGGCUUAACCUGGGAACUGCAUUUGUGACUGCAAGGCUAGAGUACGGUAGAGGGGGAUGGAAUUCCGCGUGUAGCAGUGAAAUGCGUAGAUAUGCGGAGGAACACCGAUGGCGAAGGCAAUCCCCUGGACCUGUACUGACGCUCAGGCACGAAAGCGUGGGGAGCAAACAGG